rnacentral:rRNA from 1 species
CAGCAGUAGCCGCGGUAAUACGAAGGGGGCUAGCGUUGUUCGGAAUUACUGGGCGUAAAGCGCACGUAGGCGGACAUUUAAGUCAGGGGUGAAAUCCCGGGGCUCAACCCCGGAACUGCCUUUGAUACUGGGUGUCUAGAGUAUGGAAGAGGUGAGUGGAAUUCCGAGUGUAGAGGUGAAAUUCGUAGAUAUUCGGAGGAACACCAGUGGCGAAGGCGGCUCACUGGUCCAUUACUGACGCUGAGGUGCGAAAGCGUGGGGAGCAAACAGGAUUAGAUACCCCAGUAGUCCCUGUCUCUUAUAC